AUCUAUUUUCUUUAGUUAUUUACUAGAGCAAUUAUGAUCUAGAAGUCGAUCCGGGGCAAGUGUUCAGAUCUAUUAUGACAUAGCCUUGAGGCGCUCAACGGACCCUUUAACCUUUUAAAAACCUUUUUGGGCUUUGGAUUGAUCCAAAAACGACUUUUUUGUGCAACCUAGUGUAUAUUCAUAGAAGUUAUUAGAUGGAGCUCUUUAAUUUUUUACCUAGAAGAUUGUAAUUACUCUAUUCCAAAUCACGCUAGUAGCCAUUAGACAUUACUAAGAGACAUCCCCGAUAUAUAUAUAUUUAGUGAUUCAAGGGUUUCUUUUAUUAGUUUUAAUACUAAUAACUAAUAAGAAUUUUGUUUGAUUGAAUUUUUUCAUUUUAUUAUUUUUUAAUAUUUAAUAUAAAUAAAUAAUUUUAAUAUUUAAUAUAUUAAUAAAAAUAAAUAAUAAAUAAAUAGAAUAAAUAAAAGUCUAUUAUGUCCUAUAUCUAUCUCUUUUAUUCCUAAAAAAUAACAGAUGAAUAUAGAAGUGAAAUAGAAGGCUUAGAAGGGAGAUAAUGAAAUUAUGUGAUUGGGUCUUCCAAAAGCAAAGGAAUGAUCCGUUUUUUAGUUAACUGAUCUGAUGGGUCCAACAAACAAUUAAUUAUAACAAAUAUCUAAAUUCUAAAUAAAGGAUAAUAAAUAAACGGGGUCGUCUUUUAUUCGAAACGUCUCGUGAUCUUUAACCAAUUAUUAAACCAAGCCUCUGCAAUUUCAGAAUCUACAUGUUGAAUGGCCUGUUCACCCCAGCCGGAAUAGGUAGUUCAAUUCCUUCCCUUAGAACCGUACUUGAGAAUUUCUUACCUCAUACGGCUCAACAGUCAAUUCUUUUGGUGUCCCAUUUUGAUCUAUACCAUAUCUAUCUAAUGAGAUUUCUCAUGGAUCUAUCCCAGUUUUAGGGUUAACCAAAAGAAAAAUAGGUUAAUUACAUGAGUUUCAAACUGAAAUUUGGAUGAAUAAUUUGUUUAUUUAGUUUUAUUUUUUUUCCCACCUUCAGAAAAAUAAAGCAUAAGUAUUUCUACUACUGGUAGAAUUUUCUGAAAGGUAACUAUCUCGGUUUCAUAGAUAAAUUUAUAUAGAAUCUUUGAAAAAGACUUUCUUUCAUAAGAAAGAAAAUACUAUCUUUGGGAUCUGAUUCUACACCGCUACUCAAGACUUUAGUAGAUCGACUCUAUUACAUAAGUUAAUUCCUAAUUCUUAUCUCACAUUAUGAGAUAAGUACGCAGUUAUUGUUGUAUCGGUCCAAAAGCUCGCUAAUUGAUCUUUACGGUGCUUCCUCUCUCUCUAUCAAUUAAAGCCUUUUAUCCAUACGAAGAGCUAAGCCACUAAUGUCGUGGCGAAGGUUAGACCUCAUAAAGUCAGCGAAGCUAAGGUUUCGUAUGUGUGAUAGAGAAAGGAAAAGCGACCCCGUGCCCUACUACAAUUCUUAUUCAAUAGUUUAAUAUUACUACAAUGUCGUGCCGAUGUCUCCCUUACGAAAUUGAAGAUAAGUCUUUUGAUUAGGGGGGGUGACAACCGAGGCUUUUAAGAGAAGUUGCCAUAUAGGUUAUAAAGAGCUAUCUCAUAUCUAAUAGGAAUAAUCCAAUUCUUAUGUCUACUGUGGGAAAUGGGGUCCCAAGACCAUCUCUUCGACGACGUAGACAAAGGGUUCCCAUCAUGUUCGAUCUGAGAAGAGAGAUGGAGAAGAAGAUGUCCUCCUCAAGGGGUCGACGCCCUCGCUCAGAACUAAAGGAUAGUGGAGAUAGUCGCACGUAAUGACAGAUCACGACCAUAUUAUUAAAAGCUUGUGGUAAGAAUGGGUUUCGUUCUAGUGCUCAAAAAUAAUAUUCCAAAGCUUUCGUAUGUUCUCCAUUUCUUGUGUGGAUAAGCCCUAUAGUAUAGAUUAUAUAACUUCAAUCAUAGGGAUCAAUUUCUAGUCGCAUAGCUUCAUAAUAAUUCUGUAAAACAUUUGUGUAAUUUCCUUUGGAUUGAGCCGACAUCUGUUACGAUCAUCAUUCAAUUGAAAGAAUCUCCGUUCCAGAACCGUACGUGAGAAUUUCACCUCAUACGACUCCUCCCUUAUGUGCAUAAUGAGAAUAAUACAUAGAAUCAAAAAAAAGAUUUAAUGAUGAAAAUAUUCUCACUAUGAACUCAACAAGGCUAGUGUUUUUACAAGAAAUCUCUAGCCAACCUUCCUGCAAGAGAUUUUUUCUUAACAUCAAGCCUAUUGGGACUAGAUAGAAAUGAUAAGAUAACUCCAAAAAUUUCUUUGUUUUUAAUGCCUCCUAAUUUACAGGAAUUAGUUACUUCAAUAGCCUUCAAUGGUUAUACGAGUAUCCAAAGGAUGAACGAGAUGGAUAUUUGUCGUCCCAACCAUUUUUUUGGUCCCAAGCCCGCUAAGGGAAGGGAUGACUUAGAACAAAGUUUUCUUGUUGUCGAUUGCUAGGUGUAGCGCUUCUUCCCCUAUGCUUCCUAUUAGCGCUAGUAGAGUAGGAUUGACCCAUAAUAUAGAACCUCUAGGCAUAACCUUUCGCUUAAUACUAGAAUCGAGAAUUGAAACAUAACAUCUGAGGUUGCAUUAAUAGAGGAUACACGACAGAAGGAAUUAUUUGAUUUCCUAACUUCACCUUCAAAAAGAGUAGAUUUUUUUUUCAAAAAUUUUCUCGAAUCACGUGUUUUUCUCCACUUAAGACAUAGAGAAAUGAAUAAAUAUGAAAUAAAAAAAAGAAUCAAAUUGUACCAUCUCUGUAAUAGGUAAGUGCCUCUUUUUCUCCUGAAGUUGUUGGAAUUACUGGUAAUAAGAUAUUGGCUACAAUUGAAAAGGUCUUAUCAAUAAAAUUUCCAUUUAUACGUGAUCUAGGCAUAGGUAGCAAUCCAUUCUAGAAUUCUUCUCAUUACCUCUCGUGGGAAAAAGAUCCCACAAAGAAAAGAAUUGUAUAGUACGAAAUAACAUAAAACCUUAUUUUUUUUUAAGAAAAAAACAAAAGAUAUGAAUCCUCUAUUCCAAUUGUUCCUUUUUGACAGGAGUCGCUAAGAAAUAAGAAAUAUUUCAACGCGAUUCGAUUUCAUACUAAUGUAGUAGUAUAGGAUGUAGUAGUAUAGGAACUAUUCCGAUUUCGGUGAAGUUACAAAUUAGAAGAACUCGAGAAAUUUUGAUUGAAUCAUGAUACAAAUUACAAAGAAGAAAAAAGAUCGAAUAAUCAUUCUAUGAUGAAAAUAGAAUAACUGACAAUUUUGUGUACAUAACGGGUAUACACUAUACAAUCAAAUCUAAAUUUUUUUAUGAAUUUCUAUUCUAAUAGAGGGGUAGGUAUUUGUUGUUGAGAACUCCAAAACCGAAAAGGAAUUUGAAAAAUUUUCUGGUAUGGAAUCAUAGUCUAUAUCUAUAUAAUUAGAAUUAUGAUUUAAGAGUAUCCAUUAACUAUAGUCUAAAAGUAUAGACCAUCAAUCAGUUGAUUCGUUCUAAUUCAUUGAAUUAAUCCGUUAUAAAAAUAUCAGAAAA
rnacentral:lncRNA from 1 species